CACUGCCAAGUCGUAGUUAAUCUCUCUUCUGUAUGCCUUAUCGCUCUUACUUCAUCUCUAUUAGGGCGGUUAUUAAGUUUCUCGUGUUCCAGUAUUCCUGUACUGUCUCCCAUUAGAAAGCGGCUUCUGGAGAUCAGAGACUCAGUCUUGUUCAUAUUUCUUUGCACAGGAUCAACCACAGCACAUCAGUGAAGGAAAAACAAAGGUUGUUACCCAGUUCUUUACCCUAGAAUAAAUCAAAUCAACAAAUAUUUAUUGAACGUCUACUAUGUGCAAAUAACCCUGGACUGGUCAGCUUUUAAAAGCCAUCCAACUUUUCACUUUGACAAAUCAAAGCAUUAUUAUCUCAAGCAUUGCAGAAACUGCCUCCAUGUCCUGUAGGGGACAAAGCUUAUGAGGACCCUGCAAUUACUUGGGAUAAAGAAAGAUAAGGAAGAGAAAGCUCACUCACAGACUGAAAACAGGAGAAAGAAUAACCUAAAAUGUCACCGAUGGAUUGCAUCCUGUAUAAAUCCCAAUAUGGGGACCCUCUCACCUGGGACCUUGCCUGGAUUCACCUGCCCCCUUGUGGUGUUCCUCUCAGAAUAGGUAAUGGAUUUCUGAAAUUUGGAUUUGCUAUUACAAAGCCUGAGAAGAGAAACCUCGUCUCUCUUGUCCAGCAGUCUAGGGUCAGGAGAGUUUUCUCCUGUUAGUCACUGGCUAACAUAAAAACAUGGAAGGAGUAUUUUUUUUUUAUUUAAUUCACAGCACAAGAAGGAAAUUUGGCACUAUAAAGAAAUGAGUAGCACAGGAUAAGUCAUGAUACUUCAUUUUGUCUAGAAUCAAUAUUAGUGAGCUGCAGAUUGAUAAAUUAGAGAUGUUUCAAAAAUUCUCAUACGGCAACUUAAAAUCAAGUUUCUUCUAUGUCAGCGUCUCCUUUUUUAGUGAGUGGGGGAGGAGGGCAGGAUGCUAUUCUAUUUUAUUUCAAUUUUAAAUAGAUUUCCUAAGCCUUCCCUCAUGGAUAAAUUCAUAAAUAUAAGAAAUAAACUAAACCUUGUAUUCUGUAUAAUUAGAUAUGUCUGAUACAAUUGACAUGAGUGGGUUUUAUUUCCCUCUCUCAAAAAGGAAUUCCUUCACAUGCCUCACGACUAAUUUUUACAUCUUCAAUUGAGGUCAGUAGGAUUUGCACAUGGAAAAGGGAUUUAUAUGUUCAGUGAGUGAAUUACCCAGCCGCAAAUUCAGAGACAUUUUGCAAGAAUAGAAACUUAAGAAUUAGGCCUCUAGUUAAUAAAGAAUAAUAUAAAGAUAAAGAAAGGGGAAAGGACAGAAAAACACUAUUUAUAGAAAUAAUCUGUCUUAGAAGGAAGAGAUUGAUAAACUGUUGUUACACAAAGACCCCAGGUAAAAUUCCAAAAAUAUCUUUUUCUAUCUGUUAACUGUAAAGUAAAUAUUUCUAGCAGAAAAGGGUUAUCUUUCUCUAUGCUGUUCCAUGUCCCACCCCUACUCCACACCAAAGCCUGAUUUGGUUGAAUAAUAGUGAUCCUCUGUGGCGUUUUAAAUAUCAUGUCACCUCCCUUGAGAUCUAGAAGAGACAGUAUGCAGACUUUAAUAAAACUAUUUGUAGUCCAGCUCCCAAAUUUCUAGGACCCACUACUCCUUUGCAUUUCUCUUCCAUUUGUAACAGUUGACCUACUAACAGGUUCCCAGAAACACAGGUCAAAUUUUGGCA